rnacentral:rRNA from 1 species
AGUAGUUUGAUCAGUGGCUCAGGACGACGCUGGCGGCGUGCUUAACACAUGCAAGUCGAACGGUGACCCAGGGCUUGCCCUGGUGAUCAGUGGCGAACGGGUGAGUAACACGUGGGCAACCUGCCCCUGACUUCGGGAUAACUCCUCGAAAGAGGAGCUAAUACCGGAUACGACCACUUCGGACAUCCGAUGGUGGUGGAAAGUUUUUCGGUCAGGGAUGGGCCCGCGGCCUAUCAGCUAGUUGGUGGGGUAAUGGCCUACCAAGGCGACGACGGGUAGCCGGCCUGAGAGGGCGACCGGCCACACUGGGACUGAGACACGGCCCAGACUCCUACGGGAGGCAGCAGUGGGGAAUAUUGCGCAAUGGGCGAAAGCCUGACGCAGCGACGCCGCGUGAGGGAUGAAGGCCUUCGGGUUGUAAACCUCUUUCAGCAGGGACGAAGCGAAAGUGACGGUACCUGCAGAAGAAGCACCGGCUAACUACGUG